rnacentral:rRNA from 1 species
UGCAGUCGACGAUGAUGCCCAGCUUGCUGGGUGGAUUAGUGGCGAACGGGUGAGUAACACGUGAGUAACCUGCCCCUGACUCUGGGAUAAGCGUUGGAAACGACGUCUAAUACUGGAUAUGACUACUGGUCGCAUGGCCUGGUGGUGGAAAGAUUUUUUGGUUGGGGAUGGACUCGCGGCCUAUCAGCUUGUUGGUGAGGUAAUGGCUCACCAAGGCGACGACGGGUAGCCGGCCUGAGAGGGUGACCGGCCACACUGGGACUGAGACACGGCCCAGACUCCUACGGGAGGCAGCAGUGGGGAAUAUUGCACAAUGGGCGAAAGCCUGAUGCAGCAACGCCGCGUGAGGGAUGACGGCCUUCGGGUUGUAAACCUCUUUUAGUAGGGAAGAAGCGAAAGUGACGGUACCUGCAGAAAAAGCACCGGCUAACUACGUGCCAGCAGCCGCGGUAAUACGUAGGGUGCAAGCGUUGUCCGGAAUUAUUGGGCGUAAAGAGCUCGUAGGCGGUUUGUCGCGUCUGCUGUGAAAUCCCGAGGCUCAACCUCGGGCUUGCAGUGGGUACGGGCAGACUAGAGUGCGGUAGGGGAGAUUGGAAUUCCUGGUGUAGCGGUGGAAUGCGCAGAUAUCAGGAGGAACACCGAUGGCGAAGGCAGAUCUCUGGGCCGUAACUGACGCUGAGGAGCGAAAGCGUGGGGAGCGAACAGGAUUAGAUACCCUGGUAGUCCACGCCGUAAACGUUGGGCGCUAGAUGUAGGGACCUUUCCACGGUUUCUGUGUCGUAGCUAACGCAUUAAGCGCCCCGCCUGGGGAGUACGGCCGCAAGGCUAAACUCAAAGGAAUUGACGGGGCCCGCACAAGCGGCGGACAUGCGGAUUAAUUCGAUGCAACGCGA